rnacentral:pre_miRNA from 2 species
UGGAAGACUAGUGAUUUUGUUGUUGUGACGUCAUCAGUACUGACAACAAGUCACAGUCUGCCUCA